rnacentral:lncRNA from 1 species
CCUCUGUGAACCCUGCGUAUCCACCGCUGCUUUUCUCUUCAUCAAGCUGCAGUGCAAAGUCCAUUCCAAAGCUCUGGAAGAUUGUGCUGUAGAAGCAAAAGCAGGCAGCUGCUACCGGGGGAGAUAAAUGGGACCUGGAAGACCCCAGCAGUUCUGUGGAAGAGAGCAGUGUGUGCUGACAUCUGAGCAUGUCUCUGGGGGAGUGUCCCUUACAAACUUCCAUGGGACUGGAAGAGUGAAAGAGGCCUUUCUCAGUAAGCCGUGGGAGGACAAGGGGGACAGAGAAGAGGACGCUGUGGGAACCCAGACUCAGGACACAGAGUCCCCUACAUGGAGGGACAUCUCUAGGUCCAGCUCUGAAGCAGAGGUGGGAGCAGCCCUUCUCCCUUGCCCAGGAUGUUGCUAAGGAAGACAGAAAGCCAUGCCUUACCUGAGUGGAUGUGUUGAGAGGGAUUGAAGAGAAAGCCCAGAACACUGAUGCUCUUCCAGAGGACCCAGGUUCAAUUCCCAGCCCUCACACGGGAGAAUCAAUCAUGCCGACUCUUCUGUAGAACUUAACGAGCAGAGACACAACCAUGGGGAAGAACAUGACUGGGAGCCAGUCCCUGG